rnacentral:tRNA from 1 species
GGGGAUAUAGCUCAAAUGGUAGAGCGCUCGCUCUGCAUGCGAGAGGCAAGGGGUUCGAUCCCCCGCCUCCA